rnacentral:rRNA from 1 species
GUGGGGAAUAUUGCGCAAUGGGCGGAAGCCUGACGCAGCGACGCCGCGUGGGGGAUGAAGGCCUUCGGGUUGUAAACCUCUUUUACCACUCACGAAGGCCCCUGGUUUUCUGGGGGUUGACGGUAGGUGGUGAAUAAGGACCGGCUAACUACGUGCCAGCAGCCGCGGUAAUACGUAGGGUCCGAGCGUUGUCCGGAAUUAUUGGGCGUAAAGAGCUCGUAGGCGGCCUGUCGCGUCUGCUGUGAAAGUCCGGGGCUUAACUCCGGGUGUGCAGUGGAUACGGGCAGGCUUGAGGUAGGUAGGGGAGACUGGAAUUCCUGGUGUAGCGGUGAAAUGCGCAGAUAUCAGGAGGAACACCGGUGGCGAAGGCGGGUCUCUGGGCCUUACCUGACGCUGAGGAGCGAAAGCGUGGGGAGCGAACAGGAUUAGAAACCCGAGUAGUCC